CCUUGAAGUUAUUGGGAAAUUGUUUUUAUUUAUUUAUUUAUUUUUGCCUAUUCACAAACGGUCUGUGUUUUUUGUGGGGAGAUUUUGUUUUGUACUAUUAUGAAGAGAGAUGUUGGGAAUUUUUGAGAGGCUGUAGAGCAUUUGUGUGGUGUGAAAGUACUGCAACUAAGCUUUUGAUGUGUGGUUCUGUUUGUCAGGUGGCCUAGCAUGAACUGAAGACCCUCCCAUGGUGGAUAUUGUCGUUAUGUUUGUCAAGCCGAGGUGUUGAUCUUUAUUAAAGGUUAGGUUUGUCUUAUAUACUUGGACCACUAAAAUGAGCUUUUGAUUCAAAAUGGUAAUGGUGGAAGUGAGAGAGUGUAAUAGAAGUCGGAGAAUACCUCCGUUUCUUGGAUGUGUUUGUUCUGGUCUUCAUGCAGCUCUAGGUGGAUAGUAAUGGAGGGUUCAUCUGAGUCUGCUUGGCAGAACUCUGAUAGUUCUAGGGCAUUGAAUAGUUCUGGAGUCUCAGACAGGAAUCUGAGUCUUCUUCCUGCCAACAGAAUUGGCUUGUCAGGUAACGCAUUGCAUGAUUCUGUGUUUGGAAAGGAGAGAGGUAGGGUUGUGUUGGCUCACACGGAUCAUCUCAAAAACCAGGGUGGUUCGUCUGGAGUUUGUGAGGAUGAGGUUGCAGUUGGCCAUUUUGUCCAUGCCGUAGAAUGGGGUGAUGUUAGUUUGAGGGAGUGGUUGGACAAACCAGAACGCUCUGUUGAUGUCUUUGAGUGCUUGCACAUAUUUAGGCAAAUAGUAGAGAUUGUUAACGUAGCACAUUCCCAAGGAAUUGUUGUUCACAAUGUGCGGCCUUCCUGCUUUGUGAUGUCUUCUUUCAAUCAUGUCUCCUUCAUUGAGUCUGCAUCUUGUUCGGAUUCUGGUUCUGAUUCCUUGGAGGAUGGGUCCAACAGCCGAAAUGUGGAGGCUAAGAACUCAUCCUUUUCCUUGCCCCAUGAUACGCGUCAACAAAGAAGCAACCCAGGAAGUGAAGAUUUUCUAUCAGUGAUGACACCUACUAAUGCUCUAUCAGACACCACUUGCAUGCAGUCAAGUUCAGCAUAUGCAGCACGUGUGGCAUUAAUAGAAGAGACUGAAGAAAAUAGAGACAAAGAUAGGGGGAGAGUUGAAGAAGCAGAAGAAAAGAAGGAAACAUUUCCAAUGAAACAGAUACUGCUUAUGGAGGCCAAUUGGUACACAAGCCCCGAGGAGAUUGAGGGUUCUCCAAGUUCCUAUGCUUCGGAUGUUUAUCAGUUGGGGAUUCUUCUAUUUGAGUUAUUCUGUCCAUUUAGCUCGAGAGAAGAAAAAAGCAGUACUAUGUCUAGUCUGAGGCAUCGAGUUCUUCCUCCUCAAUUGUUGCUGAAAUGGCCAAAAGAAGCUUCAUUUUGCUUAUGGCUUCUGCACCCUGAGCCAAGUACUCGACCAAAAAUGGGUGAGUUGUUACAGAGUGAGUUCCUGAAUGAACCAAGACAUCAUUUGGAAGAACGCGAAGCAGUAAUUGAACUUAGAGAAAGAAUAGAGGAGCAGGAUUUGUUGCUGGAAUUCCUUUUGCUUGUUCAACAAAGAAAACUGGAAGCAGUUGAUAAGUUGCAAGACACCAUUUCCUUUUUGUGUACUGAUAUGGAAGAAGUAAUGAAGCACAAAACAAUCCUUAAGAAAAAAAGUGGGUCUUGCCCAGAACUGGGGAAGGAUGAUUAUUUAAUUUCAAGUCUUCCAUCUAUGAAUAUUGUUGAUAGUGGUGAUUCUACCGGCUUGGGGUCUAGAAAACGAUUUAGACCGGGGCUGAAGAUUCAGAACAUGGAAGAAUGUGAUGAUAAUCUCGGUGAUGCUCAGGAGUUAGAUACACCCAAUGAAAAUAAUGAAAGCCUUCUUUCAAAAAGUUAUCGGUUAAUGAAGAACUUUAAGAAACUGGAGUCUGCCUACUUUUUGACAAGAUGUAGGCCAAUCAAGCCCUCAGGGAAACCAGCGAGUAGACAUUCACCAAUAAGUAGUGAUGGCAAGGGGUCUAUUGUUCUGACUGAGAGAAGUUCUGUUAAUAAUUUGGCAUCAAAAGAGCUGUAUAGCGAGGGUAGACAAAGUGGUUGGAUAAAUCCAUUCCUCGAAGGGUUGUGCAAGUAUCUAUCUUUCAGUAAGUUAAAAGUUAAGGCAGACUUGAAGCAAGGGGAUCUGCUAAACUCUUCCAAUCUAGUAUGCUCUCUUAGCUUCGAUCGUGAUGGAGAGUUUUUUGCCACAGCUGGUGUAAAUAAGAAAAUUAAAGUUUUUGAAUGUGACGCAAUCAUAAAUGAAGAUCGUGAUAUUCACUAUCCUGUAGUUGAAAUGGCUAGUAGGUCAAAGCUAAGCAGUAUAUGUUGGAACAGUUAUAUCAAAAGCCAGAUUGCUUCAAGUAACUUUGAAGGUGUUGUACAGGUAUGGGAUGCUGCAAGAAGUCAAGCAGUGAUGGAAAUGAGAGAGCAUGAGAGGCGUGUAUGGUCCAUAGACUUCUCAUCAGCAGAUCCAACAAUGUUGGCCAGUGGGAGUGACGAUGGUUCUGUUAAGCUAUGGAGUAUCAAUCAGGCAAUUCUAUUUUUGCACUUCGUGGAUGUCAGCUUUGAAACUAAACGGAGACAGUAUUGGUACCAUCAAAGCAAAGGCGAAUGUCUGCUGUGUUCAGUUUCCUUUGGAUUCUGGUCGUUCCCUUGCAUUUGGUUCAGCAGAUCAUAGAAUCUAUUACUACGAUCUCCGCAACUUGAAAACUCCUUUGUGCACAUUAAUUGGACACAAUAAAACUGUGAGUUAUGUCAAAUUUGUAGAUACAAUGAAUAUUGUUUCUGCAUCCACGGAUAAUACUCUUAAGCUCUGGGACUUGUCAAUGUGCGCAUCUCGGGUUAUUGAUGCUCCACUUCAAUCAUUCACAGGACACAUGAAUGUAAAGAACUUUGUUGGUUUGUCAGUUUCUGAUGGUUACAUUGCUACUGGUUCAGAAACAAAUGAGGUGUUCAUCUACCACAAAGCUUUCCCCAUGCCUGCAUUGUCAUUCAAGUUUGACAACACAGACCCAUUGUCUGGCCAGGAAAUGGGUGACACUGCACAGUUCAUCUCUUCUGUUUGUUGGCGCAGCCAGUCAUCAACUCUAGUUGCUGCAAAUUCUGCAGGAAAUAUAAAAAUUUUGGAGAUGGUUUAAUGUGGCUACUCUCCAAUCAUCCAUGAUUCUAGGGAAAAGGAAUGGAAUAGAUUUAUGGGGGUAGAGACACGAGGUGAAAGGAAUCUUAUGCCGGAGACCUGUAACGAAGACAUAAUUUUAAAUGUCCUAGGAGCUCGAUGAUUCUGAGCAACUCAGGAAAAUUUUGGCAUUAGUUCAUAGCGGAUGUGGUUUUCCUGAAGAGUGAGGAUGAUCUUGUUCAAAUUUAAUGCAGAUAACUAUUCAAAGAAAAGAAAAAAGGGGUAAAAAAUCAUAAUCCUUUGUAUAUUUUGUAAUUCCUACAGUUCAUAAAGAUAUGAUAUGAAUUUACAACAGAUCUUCAAAUUCA